GAUAACAUCGGGUGUUUUUAAAUGUGUAUUUAGUGCUCUUUAAUAUUUAGGUUUGUAACUGUUGUUGAAAAUACGCACAAAGAGUUUCUAUUAAAACAAAUGCUGGUUUUACUCUACCGGAAGUUCAAUUUCCGGGCAUUUCCGGGGUGGUACUUUCAAUAUGAUUGACACAUUUCUCAGCCAAUCAUUGCUUCUUCACUUACUGAGAACGACUGAAAAUGGCGUAGCUUACUCGGUCAGACGCUGGGAGGUGAUGGGGGGGGGACGGGACGCCUUUUUGUCCCCUUACCUCUUCUGCCCCAUACGGAGUGCAAGGGUUUCUGCUAUAUGAAUAUCUCCUCGAUGUAUUUUAGUGGAGAAAUUGCGAAGUGGCCAGGCAGAAUUGCUCGUGUCUCCAUCAAUACGAAGAAGUGGACCAGCCAUUGUUAAGCAUCCCAACAUCUCUGCAGCAUCCUCAUCACCAGGAGCACACCAAGGAUGGAUGCAUUGAAGAACACAUCUGAGCCACAGCGGAGGGACUUCACGUGGACCACCGUGUUAUCAAACAAUCACAUUUACGUUCAACUGGGAUGAUGAGGUUUCUUUGAAGGACCUGAUGGGGGUUAGGAGGGGUGUACCCUUCUCCACCCCCUCACCAUCCCUUUGUGACAUGUCUGUCCAGGUUUGGAAUGAGCCUUUGGACUGACAUGGAGCUAUUAUAUUUUUUACGCUCAUUGUCAAUUUUAUUAUUACUAGAUGUGAAUGAUGUAUAUGCAUAGUCCACAAUAUUAGAACAAGAGAUAAAUGGUCAUGUCAUUUUUCCAUGAAGUGGAGAACUGAAAAGAAAAAAAAAAAAACGUAGAUACUGGUCUAAAUCAACCGUCCCGAUAGCACAUUGUAUCAGACACGUAAAACUGUAGCAAGCGUGAGUCUCAUCUUUUUUGCUACCUCAGCGAGUGGCGGGGUCAUUUUGACACAUCCUUACAUGCGUUGAGUUUGAUCACAAAUUAUAUGAAACAUUUUCUCGUAAGGUUUGUGAAGGCUUUUAAAUGUCAUCUCUUGAAGCCAAAUAAUUCUUUGCUCGAUUUUUUCUUAAAAAAAUGCAAUUAAAUAGUUUUAAAAAUGUGAGCCAAGCACAUUCAUUAUGCUAAUUUUAAAAUACUCAUUUUAAUAAGUACAUAAAAUUCAUAAAUCAUCAAAAAUGAAAAGCACAUUUUUAGUUGGAUUUCUUUUAUAUAUUAUUCUAAUUUUACGACAGUAUAUCCAAUAAAACAUUCAUUUUAGUAUAAAUACUUAAAACAUGUUUGUCCUUCAUUUUGCAUAAGAGGACACCUUUGAUCGGGCAAUGUGCAAUAUUGCAUCCAAACAUGUUACCUUGUUGACUGAUGCUGUGUAUUAUAUAUUAUGAAGAAAAGAAAAAAAAAACAAGUGACACGUUGUUUGAAAAGCAACAAAAUCACCAACGUCUUCCAUUCGAAAUUUGUAUAGUCUCAUUUAGACGCUCAUACUUAACUUCAUAUAUAAUCAUCGUAUAAUGCAUGAUGCCUGCUUUAAUACAACUCAGAUGAAUAAUCUCCCCAAAACAAAAUAUACAAAAAGCAAUUUCAGAUGCAUGAUUAAACUUUUUUUUAAUGCAUUCAAAAACCAAAUAAUAGCACUAAACUAAAAGAUGAGAUUGAAGUGAUUUUGAAUGGAUCUUCCAGCCCUUUAGUGUUGUACGUGCAUUACGUGUAAUCCAGACAAUUGUAUUAGGACUAGAUUAGCAGCAAUAAAUGCAUGACUUGUGGUGGUGGUGUGGGACGCUAUAGAGCUUUGUUUUGAGAUUGGAUUCUGCUGGUCAUCUUUUUUUUUUCUUGAUCAAUACACAAAAUUGAUUUAAUUGUAUGAUACUUGUAGCAUUUUUACACGCUGAAAGUCCAAAUGUGUUUUCAUAGCACUACUUGCACUGUCAACCACCAUAUCCAGUUUAUGUAGUAUAUUUCUUAACCCUUCCUUUUGGGGACUUAUGACAUCAUGUUAAAAUUCAGUAGGGAGUUUAAAAAAACAAUGCAUGUUUGUUUUUUUUCCUCGGACAUGUUUGUAAUGCAUGCAAUAAUCCACAAGUGUGUCAUUUGACUGCGCGUGAAGGGGAAUGUGUUAGUACAGUAGCAAGCAUGUUGUAGCAUCCCCAAAUGGAAAAGAUCCUUACUUUGUUCACCGAGGUGUACGACCUAUGCACUCCGCAGCUAAGAGGAGGAAAACGGGCAUGUUUAUUAUUAUUGUGCAAUGGUUUUGUAUAACUAACAAAAUGUAUUUCUCAAACACAGCAAUAGCAAUGACGAUGAUAAUAAAAUGCAGCAUGGUGCCAAUGACAA